AGGUCGCUCAACCUGGCGGGUCUCGGCGAGAGGGCGGGACCGGCUGUGGGCGGCGCGGAACCACGUGGUGCCUCGGCGUCCGGGGCCCCGGGUUUGCCAGACUCCUCGCCCGAUGUUUCUACCCCCCAGCCUCCGCUCACCAUGCCCUUUAAAGAGGACGUGUUGACUCAAGACGAACUACGCAGAAAGCUGUACCAGACCUUCAAGGACCGAGGUAUCCUGGACUCCCUCAAGACACAACUGAGAAAGCAACUCAUUCAAGAAUUGAUGCACCCUGUAUUGAGCGGAGAAAUGCGUCCCUCGUCCAUUUCAGUGGAAGGGAGUGCCCUUUUAAUAGGCGCUUCUAAUUCCCUAGUGGCAGAUCAUUUACAAAGAUGUGGCUAUGAGUAUUCACUUUCGGUUUUCUUCCCAGAAAGUGGCUUGGCAGAAGAAAAGGUAUUUACUAUGCAGGAUCUAUUACAACUCAUUAAAAUCAAGCCUGAAUCCAGUCUCUACAAAUCACUGGUCUCAGGAUUUGAUAAAGAAAACAAAAAAGGUUUUCUCGUGGAGUUUCUAAAAGAAAUGGCAGAAUAUCAUCAGGCUAAAGAGACCUGUGACAUAGAUACUCAGACAAGUCCGAUGUUGCCUAGCAAAGACUCCCUUGCUGAGAAGCUUCAGCAUAUUGACGAUCAGUUUGCAGGUGCUUGCCCUCAGCAUCCAAAGUUAGACUCUUUAGAAAAGAAGUUAAGUGAAUAUAAGAGAGAAAUAGAACAACAGCUUCAGGCAGAAAUGCGUGAAAAGUUGAAGCAUUUCAAAAAUGCUGAAAUAAUAAAAAUUAGAAUGGAAGAGAAAAGAAAGUCUGAAAAGGAAAUAGCAAAGUUCUGGAGUGAUGUUGAGAAAACUUGUCAAGCAAAAUCCGAAGCCCUCCUUAAUCGGGAAAAGUUGUCCCUUGAGAGAAUUCAGAAACACCAGGAGAUGGAGACAAAAGAAAUUUAUGCUCAAAGGCAGCUUCUACUAAAAGAUAUUGAUUUGCUAAGAGGCAGAGAAGCAGAGCUGAAGCAAAGAAUUGAAGCUUUUGAUGUAUUUCAGAGAGGAAGAGAGAGAGAAAAACAUCAAUGGAGAGAGAGAUCCGGCAUAACUCGGUCAAGGUCCCAGAAGAUACAACAAGAAAAACAUAAAGCUGUGGCUGAUGCACUUAAGAGAAGGGAGCUGAAUAUAAAGAGUAUGGAAGAGACCUAUGACCAGAAGCUCAAGAGUGAAAUUCUAAAGUAUCAACUUGAGCUGAAGGACGACUACAUUGCCAAAACUAACAAACUAGUUGAAGAAGACAGAAAGAAUAAAGAAAAAGCUAUACUUUUGCAAGAGCAGCUGUUGGCUCUUAAUUCAAAAAAGGAAGAACUCUAUCAUUGUGCAACUCGUGUGAAAGAACUUGAGCUUGAGCUCGAGUCUCUCAAGUCCCAGUGCUUGGCAAUAACCAAGCAAAACCACCUGCUGAAUGAAAAGAUGAAAGAGAUGAGUGACUAUUCACUUCUAAAAGAAGAGAAACUAGAACUUCAGGCUCAAAAUAAAUUACUUAUGCAACAACUGGAAGAGAGCAGAAAUGAAAACGUGCAUCUCUUAAACUGCAUAGCUCAGCCAUCUCCUGAGCUGAUAAAUUUGCAGAAACAGUUAAAGAAAGCAGAAGCUACUAUCGUGUUAGGGCAUAAGGAGUUUGAAAACCACAAGGAAGCUAUGCACAGACAGCUGCAAAGUGAAAUUGAGCAUUCUGCAAAGCUGAAGGCCCAGAUAAUAGAUUAUGAUGCCUCUGUAAAGAGUUUAAAUAUGCAAGUGGCUGACUUAAAAUUGCAACUGAAACAAACUCAAACAGCCCUAGAGAAUGAAGUGUACCGCAAUCCAAAGACAGCUCUGUUCUCUCGUUCUGCCAGCGGAUUCAUGGGGCCUCCUAAGGAUGAAAGAAACAGGAAUCUCUUGAAAAACCUUCUCAAACAGGAACAGCUGAUGGCAGACACAAUUGCAGCAAGGGUCUUAAAUUAUACAAAUGCAAGCACGGAUGGUAGCUCCCCAGAUUCUGAAAUUGAGUUUGUAGCCAGCACCAAAGCAAGAAUGAAAGAGCUAGAGCGCGAGGCUGAAAGCUUAGAAAAAGCUUUCCUAGAUUACCGUGAUAGAGUUGGUCAGUACCCUGCCGCUAGAAGCCCAGUAACAUCCAGGAGUCUGCCACCUGUGCACUUGGAAGAAACUCUCAAGAACAUCCUUUCAGGUUCCUCAGAAAGACGUAUUUUUGCAGAGGAAGCAGCUAUGCCCAAGAAUCCUGCAGGCGGCGUGGUAGAAGCACUGGGCGAUGCAGUCUCAUGGCUCUGCAGAGGCUCUAACAGACGCCUUUCCUCCACUCCUCUUGCUAGACGAAGCCUUGAAAGUGAAAUGUAUCUGGAAGGUCUGUGCCAAUCCCAAGUUGCUUUUCCCAGUUCUUGUCCAGAAAGAAUGCUCCAGACUUCACCAACUGAGUCUAGGCACAGCCUCUCCUUCCAUUCGCUCUCGAGCUCUCUGGAGCAGAAAGCCGAUCUUUAUCAAAGACAAACUGAAGUCCAAGACAGAAGUGAAUUUUCAGAUGUGGACGAACUAUCUUUUAAGGAUGAGGAACUUGAAUCAUCUUUUGAAUGUAAGUUCAAAUCGGACAUGCCAAUGCAGUUUGAAGUGAAUGGCCUCCACCCUGGUGGCGACAUGUCUUCCUUGGGCGCGGCUGCAGCCGCUCUGCCUAACAGAGCUCUCUCCUCUCAGUAUCCAAGUGCAGAUGAGAAAGAAGUUAGAGAAGAGAGUGAAGAAGAAAGAAUAUGGAACAUGCUGAAAGAACAAAAGCAGAGAGAAGAAAAAAGGCAAAGUGAACAGAAAGCUUUGGAAAAGGAACGAAGAGAACUAGAAAAACUGGAUCAAGAAAGGCGGAUAAUUGAAGAGUCUUUGAAGACUGAAAUGGAGAAAGAAUUAGAAGAGAGUGUUCAAGAAGAAAUGAAAGACAAAUCUGCUUGUGGUGAAAAUGCUUUGGAGAAAUAUAUGAAAAUCAUCCAGGAGGACCAAGACCCGAAGACGGUGGAUAAGGGUCACGGCAUUAGGAAGGUUGAGAACCACUGCUGUAGAUGCAAGCGGCGGAUCUUCCCCAUAUGCCACACGCAUCUAUAAAAAAAAUGUUUUCCCUAAGUGGAAGCCCUGGCCAACUUUAAAAUCAUUUUUUCGUGAGAAUUUUCAGCUGAAAAUAUUUAAGAACACCUGAAUUAGCUCAAUAAGGAGUGUUGGAGAAGGCUCGCAAGUGGAAACGCUGCCCUCUAGUGACAAAGAUGAAAGUUUCACAGGCCUGCCUCAUGAAGAACCAGAUGACUUUUGGUAAACACAUGUGUUGCCCAGCUUCUUUCUCAUGUAACACAAUAAAAGGCCUAUGUUCUCUGUAAUAAACAGAAUUCUCAAUAAAAAUUGUUUGUGCAA